GUAACACUGGGGCUGUCACUAUGGCUAGUGCAGCUUAAGAGCCACCCCCUGCUUUUGUUCAACAUGAGCUAAUCCCAUCACCUCCCAAGCCUCUGGGUCUGCAAGCUGGGAGUAGAACUGGACUGCCUGCACAAAAGUGUUAGCAGCUCAGGGCCAGAACCCUUUAGACUGUCCCCAUGGAGCUGCCCAGGUGAUGAAAACAGAACUGGGAGGUAAGGCUAAGAAUACUUUUCCUAGAAGUGAAGCAACUCUGCAUUCAGGUCUCUCUACAUCUUGCUUGGUGGCAUCAGGCUCUUUUCCUUUCUGUUGUCCUCCUUCCAUCCCUCCACCCAAUCUCCCUUUCUCUCCAUGCACUCAGGGCCCUCACUUCUGGCCUGGACUGUAUUAACAAGCCUUUGUGUGUCCAGGAGCCUCUCGUUCCUCUCCUUGCCUAUCCA
rnacentral:lncRNA from 1 species